rnacentral:misc_RNA from 1 species
GAUGAAGAACGUAGCGAAAUGCGAUAAGUAAUGUGAAUUGCAGAACUCAGUGAAUCAUCGAAUCUUUGAACGCACAUUGCGCCCGCCAGUAUUCUGGCGGGCAUGCCUGUCCGAGCGUCAUUUCAACCCUCGAACCCCUCCGGGGGGUCGGCGUUGGGGAUCGGCCCUGCCUCUUGGCGGUGGCCGUCUCCGAAAUACAGUGGCGGUCUCGCCGCAGCCUCUCCUGCGCAGUAGUUUGCACACUCGCAUCGGGAGCGCGGCGCGUCCACAGCCGUUAAACACCCAACUUCUGAAAUGUUGACCUCGGAUCAGGUAGGAAUACCCGCUGAACUUAAGCAUAUCAAUAAGCGGAGGA